AUACGAAGUCGGACCUGCCCAGUGAGUUUUAAACGGCCGCGGUACUCUGACCGUGCAAAGGUAGCAUAAUCACUUGCCUUAUAAUUGAAGGCUGGAAUGAAUGGUUUGACAAGAAUACGUCUGUCUCUUUUAGACUGCUUAGAAUUUUAUCUUUGGAUGAAAAAGUCUAGAUAUUAUUAAAAGACAAGAAGACCCUAUCGAGCUUUAGAAGAGUUAAUAGGCCUUUGGUUGGGGCAACCGAGGAGUAAGCAAAACCUCCUCUCGUGUUGAUCCAAAGUUUUUGAUCAAAGAAAUUAGUUACCGUAGGGAUAACAGCAUUAUUUUUUUUAAGAGCUCAUAUCGAAAAAAAAGUUUGUGACCUCGAUGUUGGACCAGAAUAUCCUAAAGAUGCAGAAGUCUUUAAGGGUUGGUCUGUUCGACCAUUAAAAUUCU
rnacentral:rRNA from 1 species